AUGCAGUUAAUGAACAUGAGAAAAAGUACAGUCAUCUUUAGGAGAACAGUAAACACACAGGACACCUCAGUAUUACAUCCAUGUAGUCAUCAGGUGAGCUUUCAAAAUCAAAUCCAGUGGCGCUUCUGUGCUUUCAUAGGUCUGCUGUGGACAAAGAGGGGUCAAGUCAUUUCUUCUGGUGUUUGGACAACCAGGUGCUCUAAAUACUACAAAGAGACUACGCCAGAGUCCUGCAAGGUGGUGGCGGUCCCCUUCUGAUGGAAGAAUGGUUGUGCUCAGGCAGUUUGGGCUGCUUCUCUGGAAGAAUUAUAUCCUGCAGGUAAGCUGGCACUGUGCUUGCAGCAGAGGAACUGCCUAUGUCAUCAUCCCUUAAAGGUGAUCCCUUCAGAACUUUCCCAAUGUCUAGAUUUCCUAGUGAACAUUUUCUGUAGGCCCAGGAUGGAUCUAUUUGUGUGCAUGGUAUCUUUUGUGCUUUUGUGUCAGUGAGAGAUAGACAGGGGUCUGUGCUCAAUUACCUGGUGUCCCUGUCCCCUCAAUUGCAAUUGCACAAUUUAUCAGUUCUCCUCACUUUCAAAAUAGGGCUGUGAGUUCAGUUUUCCGUUCUCAAGGAGCAGGAUAAUCCCUGCGCCCUCCUGUGCAACCAUGGGUUUCCCUGAGCUAUCUUAUUCCAUAGAUUCUUUUACAUCCUUCUCUGGAGGUGGUGAUGCUGUGCAGCGCCUAUAAACUUACCAGGAUCCAAGUGCUUUUUCUCCAUUACUUUUUGCAUUCUUCAGAAGUAACUUUUAUGGGUCUGUGGGCUGCCUUAAACCACCUUUGUCCUGGCAUCUGCUCUUAUUCCUGCUCUGCGCUUGGGAACUAGCGAGUUAUGAAGUACUUAGGGACGUU
ensembl:lncRNA